rfam:Nicotiana sylvestris Nsyl_contig76491, whole genome shotgun sequence.
UAGACAGAUUAUUGUAUUCGAUUGUAUUCACGAUAUGUAUUUGUGAAUACAGUAACGUAAAUAGCGCGAUUCAUGGUCUAUUCAGCUGUUUUUAAACGAAAAGUGAAUCAAUUAACAUAAUAGACUCCU